rnacentral:tRNA from 1 species
UCCUGGGUGGCUCAGUCGGUUGAGUGUUUGACUUCAAUUCAGGUCAUGAUUUUACGGUUUGUGGGUUCGAGCCCCACACUGGGCC